AAGGAGGCCCAGGAGUAGGCUGGGGAGAGGCCCGUGGCAAAGAACCUGACGAAAGGGGCUUUGCAGGGUCCAGAAUGAAGAGGAGGCAAUGAGAAUUAUCCCUGGAGGAUUCUAGAAGUAGAGGCUGGGAGUAUCCACAGGUAAAUCGAGCCUGAACUAUGACUAGAAAGGAAUUGGGAGAAAGAGACACAGGUGAAUCGAGCCUGAACUAUGACUAGAAAGGAACUGGGAGAAAGAGACACAGGAAACUGUGAGCUUUGGGAGCAAUGGGGACACCACCACCAGGAAGUCAGGGGGCACUCAGCCGGUGUGUGCCACACAGAGGAGCCUAGAAACUUCCUGGCCUUGGUUGGGGCUGCAGUGGCCAGACUGUGUACCUGGUGGCCAAGGAAGGUAACUAGAGCCCCACGUAGAGGACUGAGUGCCACUCACUCUAUGCUGUGAUCUAAUAGGUCUAGGCUGAGAAAUGGGACUGACCCCACUUCUGGUGACAGAGUAAGCCUGGAGACAAGCGAAGAGCAUGCAGUGUGUUUAUUGCAGACAGCAGGGUGCAGUGGAGUGGGCUGCACCCACUGCACCUGCUUCUGGGCCAGCUGGGGGUCCCGCCAAGCCUCACUGUGGUUCAGAGGCUGGAGUAUGAGCUUGUGGGCCUCCAGCAAGAGCUCAGUACCAAGGGCAGCCGCCACACGGGCCUGCCACACUGCCAGCCGGGGCAGUCUUGGAAGAGGUCGCAGCCAACGGCAGUGGGCUGGGAAGACAGGGCAGCUGGGGUUGGGGCUCAGCCCCAUGCCCAGAGUCCCCCCAGAGGGCAGGUGGGUAGGAAAGCUUCACCUGCAUCACCUCCGUCAGCACCAAGUCUUCCAGGGAGAUCUGCUCCAUUGCCAGGAAGGGCCUGGCCACCAGCACCCCCCAAUCCAGGUGCUGCAGGGCUGGCAUCAGCCUCCCCAACAGCCGCUCCAGCUGUGCAGCAUCUGCAGGCUGUCCGGAGAAGUGGGGCAGGAGAGACUGGGCUGGGAGGAGAGGAGCAACUUAACCCAGACUCUUGGAAGCCUCUUGGGCCUCCUCUCCAUCCCUUCCCGGCUGCCACUCAUUAGUGAUGUCCUCUGGGGCUCUGUGUUCAGAAGGUUUCUAAGGAUUCAUUCAGGCUUAGGGGAAGGAGUACUGUGAUAGAUUAGUUAUGUCUGCUGAGGACAGUGGAAGUGAAGCUAAUAUGUAAUAUGUACCAACUGGUGCCUUCCAUCUCUGGGGGUCCAGGCCCCUGCCCCAGCCUGCAUGACAGGGCCUAGGAAGCUCACCUUGCACAGGUAGACAUUGGUGGCAGGCAGCUGGAUGGUGACAUGCUUCCACGCCAAGUACUCAUCCACGCAGGUGCGGGCUUGCAGCUCAGGUGGGUACCAGUGUCCCCGUAUCUGGUACUUUCGACUCAGGUAUAAAACGAUGACCAUGCUGUGGGCAGGGGGUGUCAGAGAUCUUUUCUCCAGCCUGUCAGGGCCAGGUGGCUUCAUUGCUCAUACUCAGGGUGAUUUGACCAGGUUUUCUCCCCACCUUCACCUUCAGGGGAGGACCUCCCCUAUACUGCAACUCCCUCCAGGCAGUAUCUCCCCACGACCAAACCACUCUGUUUCUCCAUUUCCAACUCUGAUCCUCCCUGGGCCCAUGUUUCCACCUCCCCUCCCAGUUACCAUACCAUCCUGCCCUCUGUGCCCAGGCCCCACUCCCUGGCAUCAGGGUCCCCACUCAGAGUGCCUGCCGUGUGGGCCCUGCCCAAAAGGUCUCCAAGUUCCCUUCCUAGUGCCCCAGAACACUAGGUGCCCAUUUUCUAUCCUCAGGUAAGCCCUGGGAGGUGGAUACAUUAUUCCUCCCACUCCGUUUUACAGAGGAGAAACCUGGCACACAAAGUUCUGUGAUUUCCCCAAGGGCAUGGAUUGAGGAAGUGGUGAGCUGGGAUUGAAUGUGGAGUCUCCCCUGGGUCUGCCCAGCUCCUAGGACUCUGAAAGGAUGAGCUGGGGACAUUUGGGGAGGAGCCAGCCUCAAGCCUGGGCCUUGCCCGCUGGCUUCAGGUUGUCCAGGUUUAUCCGGGUGACCUACGUCCUUUCCCCACCUGGGCAGCUCCAGCUGGCUCAGACUCUAGCCAGGUUCCAGCCUCCAGCUUUAGCCCAAAGGUGCCCCUGGGUCCAGCCUCUGCAUCGGAGCUACACAGGCUGAAAUGAGGAAGGGGCCUCAGUGAUUUGGAAAGAUCUCCAAGCCAAGGAAAGAUCUCCCCUCUCGCCUCUGCCUCCCCCUACAACUCUGAGCCCCAGAACCCAGGCAGAUCCUGGCUCUGACCCUGGGUGGGCACCAGGUCACCAUUACCUCUUUGCUAGUAGGAAGUCGCCAUCUCUGAGGGCAGGCACCUUCCCCAGGGGGUUCACCUUCAGGAACUCAGGCUUCAGGUGCUCCCUUGGUGGGCAGAAAGGAGAGAAGGCUCAGUGUAGGGCCUGGUCCUUGGCACCCACUCCAUGGGGCCCAGCCCAGCCACCUGGCUCACCCCAAGCCAACUCCACCAUCCACAGCUCAAAAGGGAUGUCAUUCUGUCUUGCAAAAGUGGAUAGUGUGUCAGGUCCAGGAAGAGCUCAAGCCCCAUUGCUGCUCCUCUCACCUGCCCUCCCCAGAAUUCUGGACCUCCAGGAGUUGCUCAGCCCUUCUCCACUAGUUCUGAGCUGUUUCCUCUCCAUAGUCUGCUGUAGUGGGCCAGAGCACAGGGCAGAUUUGUCUUCAGGGACUUUCUCUGGGCAUUCCUGGGCAGAGAACUUCAUCUUCUCUGUUAACUCUUGCUGAUAAUUCUCUGUAGCUAGGCACCUUGUAAAACCCAUGUCCCAGAAUGCCAAACCUGGAAAUGCAAUGUCAGCGCCGAAACUGCAUUGAAACUGAAUGAAUGAGGUCCCCACCCUCUUAUCUAAAUAUCCUAUCAGUCUGUUGAAUGUCAAAGUAUGUAGGGGUGGUGUGGGGGAGCCUAUAGGGAGUCUCCAUUUCUGUAGCUUUCCACAUGUUCCAUGCAGAAUUUUCCUCUAAUGACCCUUGGACACCGUGGUGGUCACUGUUUCCCUGCAUAAACCUUUGAUGAUCCUUAUCUUUAGCGUACCAGUGAAACACCAAAUUCAGAUUUUCAGUCUGUGCAGUCUAUGUAGUUAAUAAAAUCAAUUUCUAAUGGAA